rnacentral:rRNA from 1 species
CCUAGCGGCGGACGGGUGAGUAAUGCUUAGGAAUCUGCCUAUUAGUGGGGGACAACAUCUCGAAAGGGAUGCUAAUACCGCAUACGUCCUACGGGAGAAAGCAGGGGACCUUCGGGCCUUGCGCUAAUAGAUGAGCCUAAGUCGGAUUAGCUAGUUGGUGGGGUAAAGGCCUACCAAGGCGACGAUCUGUAGCGGGUCUGAGAGGAUGAUCCGCCACACUGGGACUGAGACACGGCCCAGACUCCUACGGGAGGCAGCAGUGGGGAAUAUUGGACAAUGGGGGGAACCCUGAUCCAGCCAUGCCGCGUGUGUGAAGAAGGCCUUUUGGUUGUAAAGCACUUUAAGCGAGGAGGAGGCUACCGAGAUUAAUACUCUUGGAUAGUGGACGUUACUCGCAGAAUAAGCACCGGCUAACUCUGUGCCAGCAGCCGCGGUAAUACAGAGGGUGCAAGCGUUAAUCGGAUUUACUGGGCGUAAAGCGCGCGUAGGUGGCCAAUUAAGUCAAAUGUGAAAUCCCCGAGCUUAACUUGGGAAUUGCAUUCGAUACUGGUUGGCUAGAGUAUGGGAGAGGAUGGUAGAAUUCCAGGUGUAGCGGUGAAAUGCGUAGAGAUCUGGAGGAAUACCGAUGGCGAAGGCAGCCAUCUGGCCUAAUACUGACACUGAGGUGCGAAAGCAUGGGG